UAUUUGUCUUUUUGUGUGAGCCUCAUUCCACUUAGCAUAAUGUCUGCACAGUUCAUCCAUGCUGUAGCAGGUAUCAGAAUUUAAUUCCCUUUUUAGGGCAGAAUAAUAUUUCAUUACAUGUAUUACACCUUUUGUGUAUCCAUUCACCUGUCAAUGGCCAUUUUGGUUGUUUCCACGUUUUGGCUAUUGUGACUAAUGUUGCAAUGAACAUGGGUGUACAAAUAUCUGUUCAUGUCCCUGCUUUCAGUUCUUUUGGGUGGAUACCAGAAGUAAAAUUGCUGCAUCAUAUAAUGGUUUUAUGUAAUGGUUUUAUGUUUAAUUUUUUGAGGAACUACCAUACUGUUUUCCACAGGGGUCACACAUUUUGUAGUCCCACCAGCAAUGUACAAAUACUCUAGUUUCUCCACAUCCUUACCAACACUAUUUGCUUUCUGUUUUUUGAUAAUGGCCAUCUUAUUGCUUCUCAGCCUUUCAGCUAAAUCAAACAAUAAUAGCAUCCUAAUGUAUGUAAAAGUAGUCUCUCAUUGUGGUUUGAUCUGCAUUUUCCUAACAAUUAGUGAUGUUGAACAUCAUUUCAUGUACUUACUGUCCAUUUGUAUAUCUUGGAAGUCUUUUGUACAUUAAUUUUUUUUUCUUAUUGGGUUGUAGUUCUUUCUAUAUUCUGGUUGUCACUUAUCAUGGAAUACAGUUGUCCCUUAGUAUUUGUGGGAGUUGGUUCCAGGACCCCCUACAGAUACCAAAAUCUGCAGAUGCUUAUGUCCCUGAUACAAAAUGCCUGGUAUUUGCAUAUAAUCUAUAUACAUCCUCACAUAUACUUUAAAUAAUCUCCACAUUACUUAUAAUACCUAAUACAAUGUAAUUGUUUUAUAAAUCAUUGUAAUGUAUUAUUUAGGGAAUAAUUUACAAGAAAAAAAGUCUGUACAUGUUUAGUACAGUUCUUUUCCAAAUAUUUUCAGUCUGUUGGUGGAAUCCAUAGAUGAGGAACCCAUGGAUACGGAGGGCCAACUGUAUUUUCUCCUGUCAUGUGGGUUGUCUUUUCACUCUGUUGAUAGUAUCCUUUGAUGGACAAACAAUAAUUUUAAUGAAGUCCAAUAAUUUUAAUGAAGCCAACACAAUAAUUUUAAUGAAUUAUCUUUUUUUAAAUUGUUUUUAUUGCCUGUACUUUUGGUGUCUUACCUGUGAAAUCAUUGCCAAAUCCAAUGUUACAACGUUUUCUCCUAUGUUUUCUUCCAAGAGAAUUAAGGUUUUAGACCUGUAUGUAGAUCUUUGAUACAUUUUUAGUUGAUUUUUGUAUAUGGUGUAAGGUAAGUGUUGGAAAAAGCAGCAAAGGAAAAAGGACUUACAGAGUGCUUAAAUUGGUUAUGAGUAACAUAUAAACAAGGAACAACAAACUGCGGAAGGCUGAGGGAGGUCUCUGAGGAGGAAAGCCUCUCCAUGCCUCAUGUUCCAGUGCAGGGUGACCUAGGCUCUGUUACCAUAAACAUUGUGCUCAAGGACGUAAAACCCCUUCAUUGCACUAUGACAUAGCCAGACUUGUAGGAAACUUGUAAGGCCUGCGUUCCAUCAGCUGUACAUAGAUAAUAAGCUAAAGAUAACCACAUGUUGUUGUUUUGUGAAACUCUCAAACCACCACUGUUAUCAAUCCUUAGAAUGACACACCAGUUCUGGCUCACUGAUUCACUCUGCCAUCACCCUCCCCACCAUCACUAUCCCUACCCUGUAGAUCAAAGUGAUUGUAACCAAUAAAUAGUGUGGAUGAUCAGAGCUUGGGGUCUUCACUGUCUCCUCCAAAGUAAUGAGUGAUGGCCCCCUGGUCCUACUAUCUCUCUUAAUCUGUCUUGUACUCAUUCCUUCGUCACCACUGAACAUGGGGUACCCACAGGUGAUGUAGGGCUGGUUCCCUAUAGUAAGAGGAGUCUAGCUUCAUACUUUUGCAUAUGGACAUUCAGUUUUCCCAGCAACAUUUGAUGAAAAGAAUGUCUUCUUCCCCCAUUAAAUGGUCUUGGUACCCUUGUCAGAAAUCAUUUAUCCACAUACACAAAGGUUUAUUUAGGUUCUCUAUUCUGUUCUAUGGUUCUGUAUGUCUGUGUUUAUGCUAGUAUCAUAUUUUGAUUACUGUAUUUUGUAGUAAAUUUUGAAGUCAGAAAGUGUGAGUUCUUCAACUUUAUUGUUUUUUUUCAAGAUUGUUUUGGCUUUUCAAGGUCCCUUGAUAUUAAUUUUAAGCAUGGGUAUUUUUUUUGUUUCUGCAAAGAUACAUUGAGAUUUUUAUAGGAAUUGAGUGGAGAGUUCUGUAUGUCUAUUCCAUCCAGUUGGUCUACAGUAUUGUUCAAGUCUUCUGUUAUCCUUACUGAUCUUCUGUCUGGUUGUCCUAUCCAUUACUGAAAGCAGGUUAUUGAAGUCUCCUAAUAUUACUGUGUUGCUGUCUAUUUCUUUCUUCAAUUCUGUUAAUGUUUGCUUCAUAUAUUUAGGAGUGCUGAUGUUUGGUGCAUACAUAUUUAUAAUCAUAUCUUGGUGAACUGACUUGUUAAUCAUUCUAUAUUAUCCUUUCUAGUCUCUUGUGACAAUUUUUCACUGAAAGUCUAUUUUAUCUGAUAUUAUUAUAGGUACCCCUGCUCUCUUGUGGUUACUUUUUACAUGAAAUAUUUUUUCCAUCCUUUCUAUUUCAGCUUAUGUGUUUGAUCUAAAAUGAAUCUCCUGUGUGAAGCAGAGUGUUAGAUUUUGUUUUUUAAAUAUCCAUUCAGUCAAUAUGUCUUCUAACUAGUGAGUUGGAUUAUUCAUAUUUAAAGUAAUUAUUGAUGUGGAAGGAUGUACUAUUGCUGUUUUGUCACCUGUUUUCUGUACAUCUUGUGGCUUUUUGGUCCCUCAUUUCUUCUCUUACUGCCUUCCCUUUGUAUUCCACUGAUUUUUUUUUAUAGUGACAUACUUUGAUUCCCUUUUCAUUUUCUUUUGAGUAUACUAAAUAAAUCUUUUUCUUGGUGGCUAACAUUGUGAUUACAUAACAGAUUUCAAAUUUAUGCAAUUUAUGUUACACUGAUAACUAAUCUUCAUUAGCAUGCAGAAAUUCCCCUUUACCAUUAUUUCUUUUGUUAUUGUUGUUAAAAUUACAUUUAUAUAUUGUAUACCCAUUAAUUUAGAUAGUUUUUUUUGUGUAAUUUUAUAGAUUCUAUACAAGAAUUAAAAGUGGAUUUAUGCACCAGAAUUACAAUAACACAGGAUUCUAUAGUUGCCCAUAUGUUUACCUUUAAUGGGGAACUUUAUACUUUCAUAUGAUUUUGUAUAGCUGUCUAGUAUCUUUUUGUUUCAAUUUGAAGGAUUCUCUUUAGCAUUUCUUGUAGCAAACAUCUAGUGGUGUUGACUAUACAUGUUUUAUCUGGGAAUGUCUUAAUUUCUUCAUAUUUGAAGGACAGUUUU